AUGAUUUUAGGUGCUUGCACUUGAAAGAUUUAACAUUGAGACGAGUGGCGAACUGGUGAGUAACACGUGGGUAACCUGCCCUUGAAGUAGGGGAUAACACUUGGAAACAGGUGCUAAUACCGUAUAACAACCAAAACCACCUGGUUUUGGUUUAAAAGACGGCUUCGGCUGUCACUUUAGGAUGGACCCGCGGCGUAUUAGCUUGUUGGUAAGGUAACGGCYUACCAAGGCGAUGAUACGUAGCCGACCUGAGAGGGUAAUCGGCCACAUUGGGACUGAGACACGGCCCAAACUCCUACGGGAGGCAGCAGUAGGGAAUCUUCCACAAUGGACGAAAGUCUGAUGGAGCAACGCCGCGUGAGUGAUGAAGGGUUUCGGCUCGUAAAACUCUGUUGUUGGAGAAGAACAGGUGUCAGAGUAACUGUUGACAUCUUGACGGUAUCCAACCAGAAAGCCACGGCUAACUACGUGCCAGCAGCCGCGGUAAUACGUAGGUGGCAAGCGUUGUCCGGAUUUAUUGGGCGUAAAGCGAGCGCAGGCGGUUUUUUAGGUCUGAUGUGAAAGCCUUCGGCUUAACCGGAGAAGUGCAUCGGAAACCGGGAGACUUGAGUGCAGAAGAGGACAGUGGAACUCCAUGUGUAGCGGUGAAAUGCGUAGAUAUAUGGAAGAACACCAGUGGCGAAGGCGGCUGUCUGGUCUGUAACUGACGCU
rnacentral:rRNA from 1 species